AGCCUGAUAAUGUCAGGUUGUCAGGGGGAAGCAGUCACUGCGAUGGCACGUUAGAGAUGAAACAAUGUGGAUAGUGGAGACCAGUGACUAGCAUCGUCUCUGGAUGGGACCAGAAGUUAGCAUCUGUUCGCAUGUAAACAACUCAACUGUGGUUCUGUUGUUUCAAAAAAAAACAGAGAAACUACAUAUAAUCCUGCCUGGCAGAUCAGCGAGACCUGUGUUCAGUCUGAUUCUAUACACCUGCUGCGGGAGUGUUUGAUGAUGCCUGGUGGAUUCCAGCUGCUCAUCAGUCUGGAGGUGAUCUGCUCAGAUUUUCUGGCUCAGCCAAACAUCUCCUUCUCCCCUCACAUUGACGGGUUGUCCGAGAACAAGCAGCUUCAGGUGCUGCUGGGCUCCAGUUUCACCAUCAGCUGCUCCAUCCUGCCCCAGCAUCCAGGAGGCUCUUUCCAGCUUAUUUUGACCAACUCUGCAACAUCACAGAACUACACCCUGCCAGCUGUCAAUCACUCUGCCCACUUCCUGUUCUCUGCCGCAGACCACACCCACCGAGGGGACUACAGCUGUGUUUAUCACGUCUACGUUUUCUCCCAUAAAUUCACCUCGGAGAGCCGCCGUCUCUAUGUUGCUGUCGCAGCCUCUUUAACAGAUCUGAUCAUCAGGCUGGCACUCAUAGUGCUGAUGGUGGCGUUCAGUGCGGCCAUGUUUUUCUACUACAAGGCCAGCAGAAGGCCAAGACGAGAAGACAACAUUGAGCUUGAUUACCUUGGUGGUGCUCAAGAUGGAAACGGUGGAGCCGAAGAGGCAGGAGGCGAGGGACCAUAG
rnacentral:lncRNA from 1 species